rnacentral:rRNA from 1 species
GAUGAACGCUAGCUACAGGGUUAACACAUGCAAGUCGAAGGGAAACGACAUCGAAAGAAUGCGUUUGAUGGGCGGCGACCGGCGCACGGGUGAGUAGCGCGUAUCCAACCUGCCCACCACUUGUGGCUAACCUUGCGAAAAUAAGACUCAUACUCAAGUAUAUCUCCACAAGACAUCCGAACGAGAGUAAAGGUUUAUCGGGGAUGGAUGGGGAUGAGUCUGAUUAGCUUGUUGGCGGGGUAACGGCCCACCAAGGCUACGAUCAGUAGGGGUUCUGAGAGGAAGGUCCCCCACAUUGGAACUGAGACACGGUCCAAACUCCUACGGGAGGCAGCAGUGAGGAAUAUUGGUCAAUGGGCGAGGGUCUGAACCAGCCAAGUAGCGUGCAGGAUGACGGCGCUAUGGGUUGUAAACUGCUUUUAUAAGGGAAUAAAGUGAGCCUCGUGAGGCUUUUUGCAUGUACCUUAUGAAUAAGGACCGGCUAAUUCCGUGCCAGCCGCCGCAGUAA